AUGUGGAGCUCUGCACGGGUCUGCAAACAACCCCCAGGACAUGUACAUCUGCUGUCCCUCACACGCUCAAGAAGCACGCCCUCACAUCCCUCCACAGACAAACACACCCUCCACUACCUGCACACACCACAGACAGCCACACACACACCUGCACACAGCACACACACUCACAUGCCCACACCCACCUGCCCGCAUACACAUGCAAACACGCCCACAUGCACAGACACACAUCACAGACACACACACCUGCACACAGCACACACACUCACAUGUCCACACCCGCCUGCCCGCAUACACAUGCAAACACACCCACAUGCACAGACACACAUCACAGACACACACACCUGCACACAGCACACACACUCACAUGUCCACACCCGCCUGCCCACAUACACAUGCAAACACGCCAGACACCCACACACAUCACAGACACACAUCACAGACAUACACACAUACGACAAACACCCCCCAUACACACACCUGUACACACUACACACAUCCACAUGCACACACCCAUAUGCCCACAAACACACCAGACACCCCCACACACACCUGCACACACUACAUACAUUCACAUACACACACACAACACAGACACACAUACACACAUGCAACACAGGUAUGCACACAUACAUAUCACAGACUCCCCCACAUUUCCCCACCCCAGAGACACAGAGACCCACACACACAGUGACCACGUUCAUACCCACACAUGCACACGUGCUCAGGCGCCACAGACACCCACACUCAGCCACACACAAAGUACACAUGCCAUAUAUCCACACUCUGAACACACACUGUGAGCUACAGACACCUGCACCCACACCACACGCACCACACCCACAUCCAGCCACACACACCAUGUAUGUACACACCACACGCACCACACGCAGCAACACUUGCACCCAUCCAUCCACAGACCACACCCACAUGCACAGGUACCACCGACUCCCACGCUCACAUCCACCCACACCCCACACACACCAUACCACAGCACACACAACACACAGAGGCACAAAUGCACACAAACACACACACCAUAGACACACCACAGAUACACACCACCCAUAUGCAUGUAGGCAUCCCCACAUGUACCGCAUGUGCACUCACACAGAACCCACAUGA
rnacentral:lncRNA from 1 species